GAUGAACGCUGGCGGCGUGCCUAAUACAUGCAAGUCGAGCGAACAGAUAAGGAGCUUGCUCCUUUGACGUUAGCGGCGGACGGGUGAGUAACGCGUGGGUAACCUACCUAUAAGACUGGGAUAACUUCGGGAAACCGGAGCUAAUACCGGAUAACAUUUGGAACCGCAUGGUUCUAAAGUGAAAGAUGGUUUUGCUAUCACUUAUAGAUGGACCCGCGCCGUAUUAGCUAGUUGGUAAGGUAACGGCUUACCAAGGCGACGAUACGUAGCCGACCUGAGAGGGUGAUCGGCCACACUGGAACUGAGACACGGUCCAGACUCCUACGGGAGGCAGCAGUAGGGAAUCUUCCGCAAAGGGCGAAAGCCUGACGGAGCAACGCCGCGUGAGUGAUGAAGGGUUUCGGCUCGUAAAACUCUGUUAUUAGGGAAGAACAAAUGUGUAAGUAACUGUGCACGUCUUGACGGUACCUAAUCAGAAAGCCACGGCUAACUACGUG
rnacentral:rRNA from 1 species